rnacentral:lncRNA from 1 species
UCACGAGUCAUUUCCUUUUUCUUUUUGCAUGAUUAUUUAAUAGAAUUGAGUUUAUAAAAUUAUUUUUUAUUUUACAAUUAAGUAAUCCAUUCCAAAUUUACAUAUGUAAAUAAAUAGAUUUUAUAUUGUAUCAAAUAAACUUUAUAUUUCACGGGUCACUAUCAGUACAAUAUAUAUUUUAUUUUGAUAAAUAAUCAUCUUAAUUUAAAAAAUAAAUUUUUUUUUGAAUAUUAAAUAUUC